GGGAGGCCGGGAGGGGUCCCUGGGCGGGGAGUUGCUGCGCAUCUGUUGUGUGUGUGCGUCUGUCUGUCUGUUCAGGUCUGUUUUAGGCUGUGUCUGCCUGUCUCUCUGUCUGGGUCUCUUUCAGGCUGCGUCGGUCUGUCUGUCUGGGUCUGUUUCAGGCUGUGUCUGUCUGUCUGUCCGGGUCUGUUUCAGGCUGUGUCUGGGUCUGUUUCAGGCUGUGUCUGUCUGUUUGUCUGGGUCUGUUUCAAUCUGUGUCUGUCUGUCUAGGUCUGUUUCAGGCUGUGUCUGUCUGUCUGUCCGGGUCUGUUUCAGGCUGUAUGUGUGUCUGCUCUUUGCUUCUGCUCCUGGCUCUGUGUGUAUUUCCCGGGUCCUGUGG
rnacentral:lncRNA from 1 species